rnacentral:rRNA from 1 species
GCGUUCAACGCUAAAUGCAGUCGAACGGAGUUAUAUUGUAGCUUGCUAUGGUAUAACUUAGUGGCAGACGGGCGAUAAAUGUAUAGGAAUCUACCUAGUAGUACGGAAUAAUUGUUGGAAACGGCAACUAAUACCGUAUACGCCCUACGGGGGAAAAAUUUAUUGCUAUUAGAUGAGCCUAUAUUAGAUUAGCUAGUUGGUGGAGUAAUAGCCUACCAAGGCAAUGAUCUAUAGCUGAUCUGAGAGGAUGAUCAGCCACACUGGAACUGAGAUACGGUCCAGACUCCUACGGGAGGCAGCAGUGGGGAAUAUUGGACAAUGGGCGAAAGCCUGAUCCAGCCAUGCCGCAUGAGUGAAGAAGGCCUUUGGGUUGUAAAGCUCUUUUAGUGAGGAAGAUAAUGACGGUACUCACAGAAGAAGUCCUGGCUAACUCCGUGCCAGCAGCCGCGGUAAUACGGAGAGGGCUAGCGUUAUUCGGAAUUAUUGGGCGUAAAGGGCGCGUAGGCGGAUUAGUAAGUUAAAAGUGAAAUCCCAAGGCUCAACCUUGGAAUUGCUUUUAAAACUGCUAAUCUAGAGAUUGAAAGAGGAUAGAGGAAUUCCUAGUGUAGAGGUGAAAUUCGUAAAUAUUAGGAGGAACACCAGUGGCGAAGGCGUCUAUCUGGUUCAAAUCUGACGCUGAGGCGCGAAGGCGUGGGGAGCAAACAGGAUUAGAUACCCUGGUAGUCCACGCUGUAAACGAUGAAUGUUAAAUAUGGGAAGUUUUACUUUCUGUAUUACAGCUAACGCGUUAAACAUUCCGCCUGGGGACUACGGUCGCAAGAUUAAAACUCAAAGGAAUUGACGGGGACCCGCACAAGCGGUGGAGCAUGUGGUUUAAUUCGAUGCAACGCGAAAAACCUUACC